GCAGCACGCGCCUAACGGCGUGCCUCGGCA
rnacentral:snRNA from 1 species